rnacentral:misc_RNA from 1 species
AUGAGUUUGAAUGGAGCUGUUCUGGUCUCUCGGGGCAAGUGAACGCUUCUCUCAAUCCAUCUCACACCUGUGCACCUUUGGAGGAUUCUUUGGGUCAAAGUUGGAUAACGACGGCGAUCCUUAGUUUCUUCUUCUAUACCUAAUCACAGUCUUAGAAAGUCUUUUUGCUUGAUGCAAACUAAAUA